ACGGGUGAGUAAUGCUUGGGAAUCUGGCUUAUGGAGGGGGAUAACGACGGGAAACUGUCGCUAAUACCGCGUAGAGUCGAGAGACGAAAGUGCGGGACCGCAAGGCCGCAUGCCAUAGGAUGAGCCCAAGUGGGAUUAGGUAGUUGGUGGGGUAAUGGCCUACCAAGCCGACGAUCUCUAGCUGGUCUGAGAGGAUGACCAGCCACACCGGGACUGAGACACGGCCCGGACUCCUACGGGAGGCAGCAGUGGGGAAUAUUGCGCAAUGGGGGCAACCCUGACGCAGCCAUGCCGCGUGAAUGAAGAAGGCCUUCGGGUUGUAAAGUUCUUUCGGUGACGAGGAAGGCGUGAUGUUUAAUAGGCAUCACGAUUGACGUUAAUCACAGAAGAAGCACCGGCUAACUCCGUGCCAGCAGCCGCGGUAAUACGGAGGGUGCGAGCGUUAAUCGGAAUAACUGGGCGUAAAGGGCACGCAGGCGGCUAUUUAAGUGAGGUGUGAAAUCCCCGGGCUUAACCUGGGAAUUGCAUUUCAGACUGGGUAGCUAGAGUACUUUAGGGAGGGGUAGAAUUCCACGUGUAGCGGUGAAAUGCGUAGAGAUGUGGAGGAAUACCGAAGGCGAAGGCAGCCCCUUGGGAAUGUACUGACGCUCAUGUGCGAAAGCGUGGGGAGCAAACAGGAUUAGAUACCCUGGUAGUCCACGCUGUAAAC
rnacentral:rRNA from 1 species